UGUGUAUAUAUACAGUAUGUUAUUUUAAUAUAAUAGCACGUGGAUUGUAGUGCUGUUGAAAUCUAUAAAUUAUUAAUAGCCCUGUUUCGCUGCUUGGUUAUGAGUUGUUUAUAUUUAUAUAGCUUUUGUUUAAUUGGUUUAAUUUAAUAUGUGCAUAAUGUAUUGUAUCAUCGGUCACUAUUGUAUAGUAUAACCUUAUUUCUUUAUACCAGAUUCAAUAUAAUAAUACUAUAAUAGGUCAAUACAAUAUAAUAAUUCCUUAUUUUAAUCAUGUUGUCGUUGAUAUUCAGUUAAUCUGUCUUGAUUAAUUUCUGACAUAUUUCUAUAUUUAUUGGCUGUUUCUAUUUCCUUCCAUUACUUUGUACUUGUAAUUUGCUGUUAUUUCAUCUUUGUAUGGUAUAAUUUUUGGAGCUAAUCUAUAUAUUAUUAGAUAGAGCUUGUUUAUUGAAUUAUUAUUGUUCAUAGGUUCUCCGAUUCUAUUUCUCCAACGCUGCGUUGCUUGCUUGAAACAUUUAUACAGUGCGUGUUCGGCAUCGUCUGGUUCUUUGUUACACUCUCAACGCUUAUUAUGAGUACUUCUAUUUAUCCUAUAUCUGUUCUCUGACUUUAUUCUCCAAGUCUAUACGCUGCAUCGCUCACGUAGGACAUGCACAGUGCAUGUUCGGCAUCAUCUGGUUCUUCAUUACAUUGUCAGCACUUAUUAUGACUACUUUUAUUUAUGUUAGAUUUUUUCCUGUUGCCUUCUUAACUCUUCCACUAGUGUGUGCUUCAAUAUUCCCUGAUCGUCGUAUACUAUGUUUUACAAAAAUGGACCCAUAACCAAUCCCUGUGGAAUUCCUGCACAUACAUUUCUUUUUACGAAUAAUUACUUAUCUACAAGCCUCAUUGAUUUAUAAGGUAACGAAGAGAACGAUUAUUCUUAGUUGAGAGAAUCCGUAUAUAUGUUGUCCUUGACUGUUCGCUGGUUAUGAGAACCAAUAUAGUGACUCUCCUGAUGGCGUAGAAGUAGGAGCAGUCGGAGCAGUAGGAACAGUCGGAGCAGUAGGAACAGUCGGAGCAGUAGGAACAGUCGGAGCAGUAGGAACAGUCGGAGCAGUAGGAACAGUCGGAGCAGUAGGAACAGUCGGAGAGAUGAAGGAACUGUAGGAACUCUAGGCACCGUGAGAGCCGAUGGAAAACUCGGAACUGAGGCACUGUGAGAGCCAAAGGAACUCUCGGAACUGUAGUCACUUUGAGAGCCGAAGGAACUCUAGGCCUUGUAGGCACUGUGAGAAAGGAAAGCUUGGUAUGGAUGUGCCCUUUGAACAAAGAACGCGGAUUCGUUGCUUACAUUUUUAGUUAGGAAAAUGAGGGCAAUGAUCCGCGAUGCCGAUUGGUUAUGACCGAUGCUGGGAAGGAAGAUGAGAGGAAGAAGCCUCUUACCAACGUGAUUCAUGGGCGACAUUAUUUAUGGGAAAAACCAGCCUUUCCGUUAGGCAAUUAUUUCGUUUUUCCCAUUAGGUAACUACUUCCUUUCUCCGUAAUUUGGCAGAAUGUACAGUAGACCGAAGGACUUUUUAAGUACCAGUUAUAAACCGAAAAUACUUGCAGGAUUAAAGCUUCCUGCCAACUAAUAAGACUCGGUUUAUGGCGGGGCCUUAGGUUUAUUGAGGGUUUCUUUAACGAUGCUUGGGCCUUGACGGUCAGACAAUGAAGGACGUCGCGUGGACCUUUUCACGCGACGUAACAGGGUUCUCCGGCCAAGUGCCCAAAGACUAAUUCGUGGAGUACAGGGGAGUUAUAAGAAAACAUGUCUAAUUCUACCCACUCGUCCCCGUUUCUGGAAUUUUCGAUGUAUAACUUGAGAUAUUCGGUUAAUAGAUGGUGAGAUCUUUCGAUUGAACUAUUGCUUUGUAGGUGGUAUGCCGACAUAGUGUAUUGUUUGAUGCGAAAUCUCUUUGCUACUUUCUUUAUCAGCGAAGAUGUAAAGUUCGCUUCCUGGUCGGCAAGAAUGGCUAUCGGUGACCCGAAUCGGCAAAUAAAUCGUUUUACGAAAACGUUUGUUAUCUCAGCUGAAGAGAUCCCUUCCAUCGGAAUCCCGAUCGAAUACUUUGUCAAUAAAUCUUGAAUAAUUAAUAUAUAUUCAUUUCCCUUUUGUGUUGAGGUGAUGGGCGUGAUAGGUCUAGAAGAAUCACUCGUGUUGUUAACAAUAAUAAUUUAUUUGCUUAAGUCUGUGGUAUACACUAGCGCGCCGAAAGCACGGUACAGAUGUCGGUUAGAGAUUACAAGUUCAAGAUUUGGUUAAUGGUUUGCUUAUAGCGGGACCUGUCGUACUUCGCAGCUUGAGAUAGACUGUUUGUUCGAAACCACGGAGUCUUUCCUUUGUCGCCCCUCGAUAUCCCUACUACACGUGUGUUUAUUAGAUGUACCGCG
rnacentral:lncRNA from 1 species